rnacentral:lncRNA from 1 species
CCGCGCCGCCCGGAUGCCCAGCUCCGCGCCGCGCGGACCCAACGAGCCCGCGCUCAGACUCCCCAGCUCCGCCGAGAGGACGCUCGCGCUGGGUCCUUCUUCUUCCCCAAGUGCAGGCAGAGCCCCCGGAGUCAUGGCCAGCCCUUCCGGCAGCUCCGAAGCCACUGGCAAGCCCUGAGGUAGGGAUGGCUGGCCCAGGAGGGAGGAGGACGACGUCCCUCCCGAAGAGAAGAGGCUGCGGCUGUUGCUGGAGGGGGGAAGCGCACAGCCCGAGGACUGCGAGGACGGGGAGGACGCGCCGCGGCCGGGCAGGGAGGAGACCGGCACCCAGACAGGUGGCGACGGCAAAGGGGCGGAAUUCUCCACGAGUUUUGAGCAGCCUCGGUUUUCCCACCCCCUCCAAAUCAUGGAAGAAACAGGGUAAGAGCAAAGACAAGGUGGCUGUGGCCUAUGUCUACCCUCUCGGGGCGUCCCUUGUCUUCUCUCCUCCUUGGGCAGGGAGACCAUCGGAGUGCAACCUGGCUGGGGCGGGGAGGAGGUGCAGGGCCUGGCCAGAGCGGGCCUGGCCACGGGCAAGGGACAGCGACCUCCUGGGCCAGGACAGGUGAGCGCGGCGCAGGCCCGGGCCCGGCGUGUCCGCGCUGCGCGGGAGAGGCCAGCAGAGGGCGCCAGAGAGCCAGGAGCGGCCCGCGGAGGAGCCCGCGCCCGCCCCGAUGCCCAGCUCCGCGCCUCGCGGACCCAGCAAGCUCGCGCUCAGACGCCCCAGCUCCGCCGAGAGGACGCUCGCCCCGGGUGCUUCUUUUUCCCCAAGUGCAGGCAGAGCCCCUGGAGCCAUGGCCAGCCCUUCCGGCAGCUCCGAAGCCACUGGCAAGCCCCGAGGCAGGGAUGGCCGGCCCAGGAGGGAGGAGGACGACGUCCCUCCUGAAGAGAAGAGGCUGCGGCUGUUGCUGGAGGGGGGAAGAGCACAGCCCGAGGACUGCGAGGACGGGGAGGACGCGCUGCGGCCGGGCAAGGAGGACACCGGCACCCAGACAGGUGGCGACGGCAGAGGGUUUCUAUGGAAAUACUCUUUCUGAAGAACCCAUGAAGCAGUGUCAGGCUGGUACGAGGAUCAGCAGUGAUUUCUUUGAGGACAAGAGCCAGUUUCUUCACUCACAGGCCAUGUCUGAGUGGAUCAAGAAGAACAGAGUGCCCUUUUAUGAGAUUUUGUCUGCGUAGACCACUAGCUUGGUAAAAAUGCCAAAACCAUCCUCGUUCUUUAAUAUCAGAUUAUUUUGGACUUUUCUCUAUAAGAAGCAGCAUGGGCAUUCAGAUGCUUUUAAGGAUAAAAUGUUCUUUCUCAUCACCAGGCCUGGUGCUCUGGAUGGCUGAGGUUUUAAUGUGACUUGGUGUCCCUUGGAGUGGCUCCCAGGCUGUGCUCUUGUGGUUGGGUGGCAAGGGGUUUCUUUAUUCGGUGGUGGCUAGAGGAUGUUUUAGCAGAUAAAUCGGGACCCCAGGAGCCCCUGUGUUGCAAGUCCUGCUGCAGGGCAUGUGUUUAUAGUGGGGAUGUGGGGAGGUGGAGGGUGGGGUGCAUUGAUUUCCUGCCAAUAUCAGAAGUUUCACAGGCUUCUUGUGUAUCCACAAACACCGACCCCAUUGAGAAGGCCUAGAAAACCUGGCCCUCCCCAAGCCUUUAUUGACAACUUGUGAAUGAUCCCAGGGUGUGUCUGACCCACAGCUCCUCCUGGAGGGAGAGCAAAGUCUCUCCUAGGUAUUUGGUUAUCAACCUCAACCACUUGCUGAGCCUUCCCCAAGACGGCGGAAUUCUCCACGAGUUUUGAGCAGCCUCGGGUUUCCCACCACCUCCAAAUCAUGGAAGACACAGGUUCAGGCAGAGCCCGCGGAGCCAUGGCCAGCCCUUCCAGCAGCUCCGAAGCCACUGGCAAGCCGCGAGGCAGGGAUGGCAGUCCCAGGAUGGGGGAGGAGGACGUCCCUCCCGAAGAGAAGAGGCUGGGGCUGUAGCUGGAGGGGGGAAGCGCACAGCCCGAGGACUGCGAGGACGGGGAGGACCCGCCGCUACCGGGCAGGAAGGAGACCGGCACCCAGACAGGUGGCGACGGCAAAGGAGUAAGUGAUGCGGGCGCGGGGGUCCGGGAGUGCCGGGGGCUCGGGGGUGCCGGGGACGCAACGAAGGGGCGUCGGGAGGCUCCGUGGCCGUCCCCGGGUUGAAGUUGGGAGUGCAGCCUUCAUUCUGAACCCAUUUAGGCAGCACGGGCAGCCCUCCUCGCCAUGGGCAGGAUCAGAGCCCCCCCGCCCAGUCUUGGGGUUGCUCCUGGAUGCUGUCUGGGAGGCUUGCUCAUGGUGACAUCCUCAUCUCCCCGUCCACGUUACCGCAUUCAGAGCUUGGGUCACCUGGACACUGAACUCAGGUGAAUUUUCUCUGAGAUCCCGGGAGAAGGAGGACAGUUCUUUGGAAGGUUUUCCAGGGCCGAUCACGGAAAGGAUGAGAAGGGAGAGGUCCUGGUCGGGGACACAAUUAUGGUGGCAGUGUAACGCCGGGAAACUUUAUUGCAUGAAGUCCCUCUCACUCCCUCUACCUCCCUCUUUUACGUGGACUCUGCCAAAGACCAGGAUACCAGAAUGCGGUGGAGAGGCCAAGUGUAGUGAGACCUUGGGAAUGCGAUUCUGGAGCCAGGCGGCUGGGGUUUGCAUCCUGGUUCUGCCCCUCCUUAGCUGGCUGACAUGGCACAAGCCACUUACCCUGUCUGAGGCUUACUGUCUUCAGUGGCAAAUGGAUCUGUCAACAGGCUCCAUUGCCUGGGGUUGUUGCUGCUGAGAUUAAGGGAAGCUCGUCCAUAGAAGCACUUAGCGUUGUGCCUGGCACAUAGUGUAUGGUGGAUAAGUGGGACUUAAGACUAAAACUCAUGCCCUGAUGUGUUUUUGCAGUGAUGUUUUGUUCUGGAGUACGUCACAAGAGACAAGGUCCUUGGCUGGGCAUGGUGGCUGAAGCCAAUAAUCCCAGCACUUUGAGAGGCCGAAGGGGGAGGAUCGCUUGAGCCCAGGAGUUUAAGACCAGCCUGGGCAACAUGGUGAAGCCUCAUAUCUACGGCGGAAUUCUCCACGAGUUUUGAGCAGCCUCGGGUUUCCCACCACCUCCAAAUCAUGGAAGACACACGGUGCAGGCAGAGCCCCCCAGCCGUGGCCAGCCCUUCCGGCAGCUCCGAAGCCACUGGCAAGCCCCGAGGCAGGGAUGGCCGGCCCAGGAGGGAGGAGGACGACGUCCCUCCCGAAGAGAAGAGGCUGCGGCUGUAGCUGGAGGGGGGAAGCGCAGAACCCGAGGACUGCGAGGACGGGGAGGACGCGCCGCGGCCAGGCAGGGAGGAGACCGGCACCCAGACAGGUGGCGAAGGCAGAGGGACCAGGCACCUUGGCAGAGAUUUCUGGGUUGUCAGGCAGAACCGAGCAUUCAAGGGUGAUAACUCACUGGAGUCCCUGAAAUCCCUGAUGGAUGCACCAGGUAAAAGCAUCCAGGGUUGAAACCAGAUCAGGAAGGUUAUUGUCAGCCUGGGGCUCCUGUAGAGGUGCAUCCACGUUGCAGGUAUUUUCCUUCUUGCUGAGGAGAAACCUGGAUUUCUCAGCUUUGGCACCGUCACAACAUUUGGGGUGAGACCAUUCGUGGUGGUGGUGGGGGGGCAUCCUGUGUAUUGUAGGACGGUUAGCAGCAUCUGUGGUCUCCAUCCUCUAGGUGCCAUUCUACCCUCCCAGUUAUGGCUACCCCAGAUGUCUCCAGAUGGUUUCAAUGCUGUGGGGCAAGGGAGUGCUGGACUACACAGGCUGAAGCUCUCUCUGCCGAGAUAUAGAUAUUUCCCUGGCAAUGAUCUUUCAAGUUGACAUGAAGACAUGGCCAUCCGCUGGAACAUCGUGGGUCUGCCGUAGUGCUCUUGUAAUUUGUGAGGCAGGCUCCUGAUGAAUGCAGUGGGUGGUCAUUUUUCUUCUUGUGGCCUCUGGAAUGUGACACAGAACUCAAGGGACAGGAAGGAGAUGAGUUGGAGGCUGGGACAGGGGUCCCUGCCAGGGAUGCUGGUGACUCACGUGACGGUGUUGAUGUGUGGAGUCCGGUGCCUGGUUUGGGGAAUGUUCGUGGGAUAUGUUCCAAAGGACUGACAGACCUAUCAGGUGCAGUGGUUCACACCUGUAAUCCCAGCACUUUGGGAGGCCGAGGCUGGCGGAUCACCUAAGGUCAGGAGUUCGAGACCAGCCUGGUCAACAUGGCAAAACUGUCUCUACUAAAAAUACAGAAAUUAGCCAGGUGUGAUGGCACACACCUGCAAUCCCAGCUACUUGGGAGGCUGAGGCAGGAGAAUCGUUUGCACCUGGGAGACAGAGGUUGCAGUCAGCCGAGAUUGAACCACUGUACUUCAGCCAGCCUGGGUGACAGAGCGAGACUCUGUUUCAAAAAUAAAUAAAUAAAUAAAAUAGAAUUCUGAAUUUGGUCUGUUCUUCCCCUGGAUUGUAAACUCCUUGAUGUCUGGGUCAUCUCAGCUCAUGAGCUGAGCUUUCAGUGGGUGCUCAGUGGAACAGGUGCUGAAUGGAGUCCGGCUCUAGGGAGGCCAGGGUGUGUUGGAAGGAAAAUACAUGUACAGCCAACUUCCUUGAGGGUUCGUUCUUUUGCAUCAGGGUGUCUCAAACUGAUGCCCUUAAAACACCUGUAAGAGAAUCAUCCAGGCGGCUUGCUUGCUCUGCAUGCAGGCCCUUUAGAAUCAGACUCAGAAUCCCUGGGGCUGGAGCCACAAAAUGAAAUGACAUUUCAACGAGUUUGUCAUCAUGUGAGAGAGAAUAGGCACAGAGAAGUUGCCCAUGACUCUGUGAUCCGUUUUGUCCAAUGAACCAUGAGCAGCAGCAACUUGAGUCACCUCCAGGUGGAAGUGUUAAGAGGUUGCUCUAUGAUCCACCACAUUCCCUUUGCCCUGAAGUGGAGAUCAAGGACACAUGCAGAGAUGGGGCUUUUGUCAGCCUGGAUCCCUGAGUGAACACAAUGAACAGACCACCCCAGAAUGCCCUAACACAGCCCAGACAUGCAACGUGACCAAGAAUAAGCCUCACUGUGGCCAGGCAUGGUGGCUCAUGCCUGUCAUCCCAGCACUUUGGGAGGCCAAGGUGGGUGGAUCAUUUGAGGUCAGGAGUUCAAGACCAACCUGGCUAACAGGGUGAAAUCCUGUCUCUACUAAGUACAAAGAUUAGCCAGACAGUGGUGGCAUGGGCCUGUAAUCCCAGCUACUCAGGAGGCAGGAGAAUCACUUGAGUCUGGGAGGCAGAGGUUGCAGUGAGCUGAGAUUGCACCACUGCACUCUAGUCUGGGUGACAGAGUGAGACCCUGUCUCAAAAACAAACAAACAAAUACCUCACUGCAUGAGGCCACUGAGAUUUGGGGUUUGUUGUUACUGCACCAGAACCCAAAUCAUCCUGACCGCUAGGGUGUCCUAACUAGGGUUUCUUACCAAAAGCAAAGGCAUUUUUAAAGUUCGUGACAUUUAAACAAAAGAGCAAAUACCAAUAUCUACCACUUUGUCAGGCUAAAAAACCCAAACAAAGCCAACAGCCAGAAGUUAAAAUAAACAGAUCAUUAGGUUGAAAAUAGAACUGUCAAAACAGGCACAAUUGACUUCAUUUAGUGAUUGCAAAGAACAUCAGGCAAGACACAGGUAUGCUCAUCAUAACAUUUAUCACAUGCUUCAUUGCACAUGUUUGACUAAGAAAAACAAAGUAUUUAAGCUCAUCUGUAGCUCAAAGUGCCUAUCCGUGUAUUUAUCUAUUCAUCCUGAUUUAUUUAUUGAGCAACUCUUUUGUGCCAGGCACUGUGCUGUGUUGCGGGAAGUCAGGGACCCCAAAUGGAGGGACCAGCUGAAGCCAUGACAGAAGAACGUGGAUUAUGAAGAUUUUAUGGACAUUUAUUAGUUCCCCAAAUUAAUACUUUUUUAAUUUCUUAUGCCUGUCUUUACUGCAAUCUCUAAACAUAAAUUGUGAAGAUUUCAUGGACACUUAUCACUUCCCCAAUCAAUACCCUUGUGAUUUCCUAUGCCUAUCAUUACUUUAAUCUCUUAAUCCUGUCAGUCGAGAAGGAUGUAUAUCGUCUCAGGACCUGUAAUAAUUGCGUUAAGUACAUAAAUUGUACAUCAUGUGUGUUUGAGCAAUAUGAAAUGUGGGCACCCUGAAAAAAGAACAGGAUAACAGCAAUUGUUCAGGGAAUUAGAGAGAUAACCUUAAACUCUGACCGCUGGUGAGCCAGGCAGAACAGAACCAUAUUUCUCUUCUUUCAAAAGCAAAUGGGAGAAAUAUCGCUGAAUUCCUUUUCUCAGCAUGGAACGUCCCUGAGAAAGAGAAUGCGCACCUAGGGGUAGGUCUCUGAACUGGCCCCCCGGGGCGUACCUGUCUCUUAUGGUCGAGAUUGCAGAGGUGAAAUAAACUCCAGUCUCCCAUAGCACUCCCAGGCUUAUUAGGAAGAGAAAAUUCCCGCCUAAUAAACUUUGGUCAGACGGGUUGAUCUCAAAACCCUGUCUCCUCAUAAGAUGUUAUCAAUGACAAUGGUGCCAAAACUUCAUUAGCAAUUUUAAUUUCACUUCCGUCCUGUGGUCUGGCCCUGUCUCCACUUGCCUUGUGAUAUUCUAUUACCCUGUUAAGUACUUGAUGUCUGUCACCCACACCUAUUCAUAUACUCCCUCCCCUUUUGAAACUCCCUAAUAAAAACUUGCUGGUUUUUGUGGCUUGUGGGACAUCACGGAUCCUACCAAUGUGUGAUGUCUCCCCCAGAUGCCCAGCUUUACAAUUU